GUAGGAGGCGUAGGCUCAGCCAACAGAAAAAAAUACAAGGCGUGUGUAUAGCCUAGAAAAUGAUGACGAUGUAACGGAAACUUUUUAAUUAAAAUUCGAAAAAUUAAUUAAAUAUUUUUGUGACGCCCGAGCAAGAGUCAGAGUCAGAGCGAAAGCGAGAGCCCAAGCGCUGACGAUGACGACUUUGAGAUUAAAUUUCCAACCUACCUACGAAAUGCAAACCCACUGCUAAAGACAGUGAGACUGACUGUCGAAAAGUUUGCUUGGCAAAAUACGAACACAAAAAAGAAGGAAAACAGCAACAAGUACAAUAGCAACAACGACAAGUUGAUGAAACAACACUAACAACAAGUUUUUGGUAAGGCAGUUGGAGAAGGCAACAAUAUCAAGUGCAAAAUGAGAAAAUUCACUUGCUCUAGUCAAACAACAACAAAAACUGUGUGAAAACGCCGUUGCUGGAAGGUCGUUAGAUGGGGGAAAAGGUGGAAGGUUGUAAGCUUUUUGAGGGUAGAAUGAAGAAAAACUCGACUCGACUCGACUUCACUCGUCUCGCUUUGCAGAUAGAAAAACAAAAGAAAGUUUGCCAGCAGAAAAACCAAAAAAAAAGUGAAUGUAGUACAAAUGCCAAAAUGAGAAAGGAGCCAACAAGCGAAAGAUGAGCAAGAGAAGAAGCUACGAAUAACACAACAAAAAAAAAACAGUUAAUGAUGCACAACUGAUAAGCCAAAAAGAUGACACACAGCCGCAACUACAAGUGCAACUGCAACUGCAGAAGGAAAAAAGAAGAAGCCACUUCAACUUCCCCCAGCUCAAUUGCCAACUAACGACUGUGAAAACCAGUUGCAAGUAGGCUGAAUCUGUGUGAGUUUGUGUGUGGCAGGUAAACCUGGCUAUGUAAAUUUUAAAUUUAGGUUAUCAGAUGGCGGAUGAUGCAGAACACUGCAAUGAGAAUGCCAGAGAUAAUGGCAACUAUCGUGAAUGUGAAAGAUGAAGAAAAAAUUCCGAGUGCAAACCACUCGAAAGCCAAAAGAAAAAUCUGUGAAAGUUGCAGAGGAAAAACAAUUGAGAAGCGCGCAAUUUGCAUGUGAAAAACAUAAUUAUGGUCAAUGCAAACUGAUGUUAAACCCCUCCGCAUUGAACCCGUUCAAACAUCAUCAACAACAAGUAGCAAAUGAGAAAAAGGGUGAAAUUAAAGCCAUGACCCAAAGUUCUAUCCGACUUAAUGUUGCCAAUCAAUCAUUCGCUCACUUGAUGGGCUACAAAUUACUACAAAAAAAAGGGAAAAUGGGGAAAAAUGCGAACAACUGCAAAUGGCAAAAGUUACGAGACAAGGGCAAAAAACUUAGUCGCAUAUGUGAUGCUUCCUCUACUUCCGAUAAUGAAUUAUAUGGCUGUGCGAAAAGCAAGAAAAAAGGAAAAUAAAUACGAACAAGUAAGAAAGCAAAAGUCGAGUAUGAUUUGCUGUGCGAUACCCGCUAUCCAUUGUGAAUAAAAGCAAAACAGAGCGGUAUUAAUUUUAAAAUAUUCCAAAUUAAUA